UACAGAGGUCUCAAGCGUUGUUCGGAUUCAUUGGGCGUAAAGGGUGUGUAGGCGGCUUGGCAAGUUGGAUGUGAAAGCCCACGGCUCAACCGUGGAAGCGCACCCAAAACUGCUUCGCUCGAGUCUCGGAGAGGAAGGUGGAAUGCUUGGUGUAGAGGUGAAAUUCGUAGAUAUCAAGUAGAACACCUGCGGCGAAGGCGGCCUUCUGGACGAUGACUGACGCUGAGACACGAAAGCGUGGGGAGCAAACAGG
rnacentral:rRNA from 1 species